AUAAAUUAAUAUUAAUCAAUAUAACAAAAAAUAUUUUAACCAUAUGGUCCUUUCGUACUAAUAUGGAUUAACAAUCUUAGGAUAGAAACCGACCUGGCUCACGCCGGUCUGAACUCAGAUCAUGUAAGAAUUUAAAGGUCGAACAGACCUAAUCAUUGGGCUCCUGCACCCAAAAUUUUUCUUAAUCCAACAUCGAGGUCGCAAUCUGCUUUGUCGAUAUGAGCUCUCAAAAACAAUUACGCUGUUAUCCCUAAGGUAACUUAAUCUUAUGAUCAUAAAUUAUGGAUCAAAAUAACAAACAUAAAUAAAUGAUAUAAUAAUGAAGAGUUUAUCUAUUCUUCAUGUCACCCCAACAAAACAUCAUCAUUAAAUAUAGAAAGACAAACAAAAAACUAUAUAAAAAUAAGAUGUCAAGCUCUAUAGGGUCUUCUCGUCCUAAAGAAGAAUUUAAGCCUUUUGACUCAAAAGUUAAAUUCAAAAAUUUAUUAAGAGACAGUUGAUUUCUCGUCAAGCCAUUCAUUCCAGCCACUAAUUAAGAGACUAAUGAUUAUGCUACCUUUGCACGGUCAAAAUACCGCGGCUCUUUAAAAAUACGCUCAGUGAGCAGGCCAGACCUCAAAAUAUAAACAAGAGGACAUGUUUUUGAUAAACAGGCGGAAAUCAAUUUUGCCUAGUUCCUUAUAAUAAGUUCACAAGGUAAAAAUUUCAUACAAAUAAAUAUACUAAUUCUAUCAUUAUUACAAAAAUUAUAAAAUUAAAUUACUAAUCUUAAUAAAAAACCUAAAAUAUUUAUAAAAUCAAAAUAAAAAAUAAUGAACUAAAACGUAAUCUUAAAGAUAGCUGGUUUAAAGCUUACUAUUAUAUUUUUAUAAAAUAAAUUAUAGGUUAUUAACUUCAAAGCUUAUCCCUUAAAGAAUAAAUAAGUUAAUAUUUUUACUUAAAAAAUUAAAUAAAAACAAAUAACUUUAAAAAAUUAAAUUUUUUCUUAAGAAACUAGAUAUCU